rnacentral:rRNA from 1 species
GACGAACGCUGGCGGCGUGCUUAACACAUGCAAGUCGAACGGAAAGGCCCUGCUUUUGUGGGGUGCUCGAGUGGCGAACGGGUGAGUAACACGUGAGUAACCUGCCCUUGACUUUGGGAUAACUUCAGGAAACUGGGGCUAAUAUCGGAUAGGAGCUCCUGCUGCAUGGUGGGGGUUGGAAAGUUUCGGCGGUUGGGGAUGGACUCGCGGCUUAUCAGCUUGUUGGUGGGGUAGUGGCUUACCAAGGCUUUGACGGGUAGCCGGCCUGAGAGGGUGACCGGCCACAUUGGGACUGAGAUACGGCCCAGACUCCUACGGGAGGCAGCAGUGGGGAAUAUUGCACAAUGGGCGGAAGCCUGAUGCAGCAACGCCGCGUGCGGGAUGACGGCCUUCGGGUUGUAAACCGCUUUCGCCUGUGACGAAGCGUGAGUGACGGUAAUGGGCAAAGAAGCACCGGCUAACUACGUG